UCCUUUUUUUUUGAUGGCCUUAUUGAGGUUCAAUUUGACUAUAAUAAACUACACACAAAAUAUUCAUUAUUGUGGCUGCCUUGAUGUCCUCAUUCAGUUCAAAAUAUUUAUCUUUCAGGAUUAUGUUGACUUUGGGGAAGAGCCAGAAGUUGCCAGAUCAGGUGAAUAAGGAGAAUGAAGACACAAUAUGAUGGUUUUUCGAGGCUGCCUAUAUGUUUAAUGCACUCAGCAGGGAAAUUUACUGUUUUUGAUUGCACCUCAAAGAGUUUACAGUACAUUGAAAGCAUCUGGUGUGUUCAGUGUGUCAUGGAGCCCAGGUGUUGCAGUGAGUGAGAGGAACCAUGAGCAGACGAUGUUCUCAGGGAUCUAUAUCCCAUUGGGAAAGCAGACCACACAUGGAAAAGGACGGAAGAAUUAUUUCUGGUAAUAGUACACCAAUAAGGAGACAGUAGUAUACAAUAAAAGACACACUUAUUAUCUUAGUAAUAUAGAAUUUGAGAUCAUAUGGAUAUGGAGUGGGUUGAAAUUUACCUUCCAUAAUACUUCAGGGGUCAAAGAUGGUCUAGAAGAGCAUACAUCACUUCAUGAAUGCCAUACUUAUUCUGGUUAAGCAACUAAUAGUUUUCCUUAAAUAGCAGCAAUUUUCUGUUAAUUACUAUAAAUGGUCACUUUUUAAACAGGUCCAUUGUAGACUUUGCUUGACAAUAGUUGGCUUUUUUUUUUUGGUACUGGGGAUCAAACUCGGGUCCUUAUGGUUGCACAGCAGGCAGCGAAACCACUGAGCUAAAUCCCAGGCCCCAGUAGUUGAAUUUUCUUCAGCAUUUUGGAGCCAUUUCUCUGUGACCUGAAGAGACAGUGUGAUGCCAUGAGAAGAACCUGGGCCCUGGUGCCAGAGCCAGGCAUUUCCAUUGUACUUUGGCCGUACACUGUAGCCUGUGACCUUGAGCACAUGACUUACUUCUCACAGCCUCAGUCCUUCCUAAGGUUGAGGUGAGGAUAGUUGAGAUAACUCAUAAAAUCCCUAGCAUUUAGACACACCUUUGGCUUCACAGGGAACAUGUGAUCACUUUUUAAAAAAAAGUUGGAGAAAUCAGACUCUGUUUAGAGGACAGGACUGACAAAUCAAACCCAAUAGGAAACAUAACAAAAUAUAGAAAAUAAAC
rnacentral:lncRNA from 1 species